rnacentral:rRNA from 1 species
GACGAACGCUGGCGGCGUGCUUAACACAUGCAAGUCGAACGGAAAGGCCCUGCUUUUGUGGGGUGCUCGAGUGGCGAACGGGUGAGUAACACGUGAGUAACCUGCCCUUGACUCUGGGAUAACUUCAGGAAACUGGGGCUAAUACCGGAUAGGAGCUCCUGCUGCAUGGUGGGGGUCGGAAAGUUUCGGCGGUCGGGGAUGGACUCGCGGCUUAUCAGCUUGUUGGUGGGGUAGUGGCUUACCAAGGCUUUGACGGGUAGCCGGCCUGAGAGGGUGACCGGCCACACUGGGACUGAGAUACGGCCCAGACUCCUACGGGAGGCAGCAGUGGGGAAUAUUGCACAAUGGGCGGAAGCCUGAUGCAGCAACGCCGCGUGCGGGAUGACGGCCUUCGGGUUGUAAACCGCUUUCGCCUGUGACGAAGCGUGAGUGACGGUAAUGGGUAAAGAAGCACCGGCUAACUACGUG